GCAAAAUUGUUCAGCUUUCCUCCUUGGUCCUUUCUCUCUUGUCUGAAGUUGGCCUCUUCUUCAGGCAGCUAGUGACAGAACAAGAGGGAAUGGCCUUAAAUUGCACCAGGGGAAGUUCAGGUUGGAUAUUAGGAAACAUUUAUUCUCAGAAAAAAUUGUGAGGUAUUGGCAUAGCUGCCCAGGGAGGUGGUGGGGUCAGUGUCCCUGGAGGUGUUCCAGAGGCAUGGAGAUGUGGCACUGUGGGACAUGGCUUGGUGAGCACGGUGGGGUGGGUUGAUGGUUGGACUGGAUGACUGGGAAUUGUGAAGGUCUUUUCCGACCUUAAUGAUUCUGUGAUUCUCUGAAGUCAUGCAGCUGUGGAGGUGUUCCUUAUGACUUCAGAGCACUUUUGUCUUUGGUCUAAAUUAACUCUGUGGAUCCAUUGCAAACGCAUGAACUAGGAAAUGGAUUUAAUGUUUGGAAAACGGUAAGCAGAGGGCUGGACUUUUCUUUUAUUCUGGUGUGUUCUCUCUGCUCUUUUAUCAUUUCUCAACAAAAGCAUCAUAACAUGGGCAGAAAAGGCAACAGGAAGGACAAUAAAAUAGAUGAAAAUAAAUCACCAUCCCUACAGGAUAUCACAGAAUCAAUGCUUUAGCACAGGGGAAGAAAACAAAAGGCUCUUUGUCCUGCCAAAGAACACACUGAUAUCAAAAUAAAACCCCAAAGAUUUGACUGAUAUGCAGUUACUGGGGGUAGCAAAAUGGGAAGUGUGAUGCUGGGCAGAAUGUAGCUGGUCCUUGUGCUAAAAAACAGUGCCUCCAUGUGCUGGCUUCACUCUUGUUCUCAUUGACUGAUUCUGCAAGACCAUUUUCUUGGUGGUCAGGGCUGCAUUCAGAAACCACUCACGGUGUGCUGAUGAAAAGGCCAAUUUUGUGAGUAAACAUCCUAAUAAGCAGGUCUUGACAGAUGGUUUGUUGCUCGAGCCCCACAUAAACCUACAGCUUGUGUCAGUGUCUCCACCAGAUGUUUCCCUGGAGAACCUCCCAGCAGUGUGCUCAGGAGCUCUCAGCUUUCACAGCACGCCUGGCUGCAUCCCGAGGAGGAGCCCCGGUGCUUGCUCAACACAUUGCAGAGAUGUCUUUGGGAGCAACAGAUUCCAGAAACGUGUUUCUCAUAGCAUUGAUAAAAUCAUGCUCCUGAUGGAGCCUGUUGGUGGCUAAGCAGGGUAAGCAAAGGAGACUGUGCAUAGCAGCUGCUGCUAUCACUUGGUUCAGGAGCAGGGAGGAAUGUUCAGUGCCACGUGAAGCAGAACAAGAAACCUUUUGUAUACUUUAGGUAACCCUCAGUUCUUUUUGUUUUGGUACUAUCUUGUUUCAGACUUUGAAAUAUCUGUCCUCCUUUCCCUAUGUUUUCUAGCAAAUCAGAAAAAAAUGACUUAGCCAAUGAUUCUUAUCAGCGAGUCUCUUCCUUUUCCCCAUUUCCUCUGUUUGUGAGUCUGACAAGCUGGUCUGAGCCCUGGGACCCUACAGUCACUCACAACAUCAGAUGUGUACUCCUCCACAGAGCAAGUAUUUCCAUUAAGAGCUGGUGGAGAAAUUUCACUGUGUUCUGCUGUCUUGGGUUGCUCACGGGACUGUGUUGUAGUUUCCAUCACCUGUCCUUCAGAUUAGGCAAUUUAGAUGUGACUGAUUUGCAGUGUUUCUGGUGGGCUGUGCAGGGACUUGCAGCUCCCUGCCUCCCCAAGAGCAACAGGAACAGAACUGAGGUUCAGAGGCUGCUGUUGGCUACUGCUGCCCUGCUGAGGUUGGCUGUUGGAAAUGGGCUUAAAGUGAUGGUUCUGGGUGAAAUUAGGCUGAAUUCCUUCCAAAUCAGUAGACAUUUUGCAGAAGAAAUUAUGCACCAGUUUGCAUUCUGUCACAGAAGAGACGAUCUCUGGAGCACCAGGCCUCUCAGUUCUCCAUCUCUUGUGUUUGCCCCUGAGAUGGUCUAAUAGCUGAGACAUCCCAAUCUGAGAGCUGUGGGAGCACUGAGGUCCCCUCCUGCAAAACAGCUUGUCUGGCAGCAGGCUGCCCUAGGGCCCUGGAAACCUGAAUGGUGGAGGAACCAGAUGGGUGGCCAGGCAGGAAACUCAGCAGGUUUCUGACAUCUGGAGCCCUAUGUGAGUUUCAUGGGAACCUGGGCAAAAUUGACUCACCUUGUUGAGAUUUUGCUGAAUUGGUGAAUUCCUCCGAAAUGCAGUUUUGCCUGAAACCUUCCGAGCAGGUGCAGUAUCUUCAGCUAUCUCCUGGAGAUGAUGACUGUGCGUUCCCCUACGUUUUGCUGCAUGGGUCUUCUGGGAGUCAAGGAAGCAUUUGUGUACUGCUGAGCCCUCUGCCAGCCUCCAUGCUCUUGAAGUGGUGUUGAAGGAGGAGGAUAUGGGAAAUUGGCAGAGAUGGGUGAAGGAUGCUGGCAGGUUAUUCUGGCCCUUAGAAAAUCAUUGUCUUCUCCUCAUUACUCUACACCUCAUCCACCGACUCUGUCUUGUCCCGUAGACUAUAAAUUCUCCAUGUUAAAUUAACUCCCCAAGUUGACUAUUUGUUUUCACAGCCUCUAGCUGAGUUUCCUACGUGCUACCCUAAUAUAAACAGUAAUAAAGACAGCUCCGUCCUGCUGCAAACCACUUCUAAGGAUGUUCCUUCUAAUUCUCUUCCUUGUUUAGCGUUGUAUCAUUAAAAGGCAUGAGGUGGUUAAUUGGAGGCUUACAGCUUUUGUGACUGAUGCAAACCAGUGUGUGAGUAAUUGCUCGCUGCAAACGCUCAGGUGAACACUUUAAAAGAAAAUGCUUUAAAAGAGGCAGAUGGCCCUGAGCAGAAGGCUCCCUGCAAAAGGUCAGAGGAAAAGGUUAGCGAUAGGGCUGCCCCGAAGCUGGGAAAAAGAACCUAAUACCUGGCCAACUGGUGAAGAGCCUGGCUAGACUGCAGCUUUGUUCCCCAAAGGGGGCUGCUGCUGCGGCAGAGCUCCUACAUCAAAGCUCUCCUAAAAAAAACACAGCAGAGAUCCGUAUCACCCAGCCUGUGGCACUGGAGGGAAAUGGAUUGGUUGACAAGUCAGAGGCCCUUUUUGGGCAGAUGGCUGGGUAGGAGUCACUGGCUGCUUGCAAAAUCUCCGAACCAGCCUUUAAUCUGCGCGUGAUACUGUAUGUUUUAGCGAGCAUCGAGAUGUUUAUCUCGGCUGCAUUAGUCACCAGGAGAGCCUGCUCCCAACCUUUUCUCUUCUGCACCUUCACUGCAGGCUUCUUCCCCCAGUUUUUGGGACAGCUGUGGGCUAAACAGCGUGGGAUUCAUUGGGCUUCCUGUCAUUUCGAUGGGGGACUAUUCAGGAACAAGUUGACUUGGUAGUACUCUGCAGAACAAAUGCAGAACAACACCGUGACUUUGUGUUUGUUGUGGUGGACUUUCAGAGCCUUGCCCAGGAGCCAGUGGUCUGAAAACUCUUAUCGUGCUCCUAAACAAAUAGUUCUGUCUUGAAGACCAUAAGAAUAACAACUACAAAGCUGUGAUUCUCCCAACCUGAUGUUAAGUGCUUUGCGGUGCCAAAGGUAAACGGGAUCAAUCAGUCAUCCUCCUGGGGAUGGUCUGAUGGCAGCCCAUGAAUCAAGCCUGGCUUUAAGGUCACUUUAUCUGCCCCGAGCUGUGCAAGCCGACCAAAUUGGGGUCUUGCUCUGCAUGUGCAAGCUGAAGAGUGCAAGGCUGGGUCUGGCAGUGUGCAUUAAUUAGGUGGAGCCAGUGUAAAUAUAUCUAUUUUGGUGGGCUCUGCAAGAGGAUGACACCUGAGUGUGCGAACUCUGGCCAUCUCUGCUCUCCUACAAAGCUGAUAUAGAGUCAUAGAAUCAUUAGGGUUGGAAAAGACCACUAAAAUCAUCUAGUCCAACUAUCACCACCGUGUCCGCUAAGCUGUGUCAAUAUUGCUGUACUGCAUCUGCUGGAUUGGCCAAACACCUUGAUGCUGCUUUUACUUCUGUGCUUUUGUACCUGUGGAGUAUUUUUGUCUUCUUUUGGCUAUAACAAUAAAGGGCUUAGCUUAGCGGGGAAACAAAACUCCCAGCAACGCCUGUAGAAUGCAGACAGUUUAAUAGUCUGAAGUUUUGCUAAUCCAGACAGUAACAUGAGCUCAGGGUGUUCAGCUGAGGUCCCACUAUAACUUUGCACACCAUCCAGUGAGAUUUAGAGCCUACUAGGUCACGGGCUCUGCACGCAAUUAAAAAGCUCUUUUCCCCAAGGGGUUCACGACACAGAGACAGCAUAUUAUCCUCCCAAUUGGUUUAUUGCAGCAAACUAGGGCACAGAAGUCAGAUUAUCCGGGGGCACGCUAAGACCAUUCAUACGCCGUUGAACUUGGAAGAGGCAUUUUUUUGUGACAUCUGUAUUCAAUCAAUCUGUCGUAAAUUCAGAGUGCCAGAUCCAUUUUCUGGGGCCAUUAAAGUACACAGCGCUUGUGCGAGGCUGCAGCUGUAACGCAAACGUGGGUUUGCGUUCAGAGAAUGCGUUGUGCUACCUCUCACUAUGGCUGUAGAGAACAAGAACCUGGUGGCCCUGGUCUUCUGAAUACACUUGAGCCAACUACAAACUGGACUGUCACCUCCAGCUGUGCCAUAUGCACCUUGGCUAUAUGUGUAAUGCUUGGAUAGACCUUGGCAGGGAGGAGAUUGAUUGCUAGGCAUUACAGAAGUCUUUGCAAAGCCUCUCUCUGUGUGAAGCAGGCUCCUUCCCCAGCCUACCUCUGAAUUUUGGCUUUUAGCUCUCCAACAGCCCGCUGUGGCUGUGGUUCUGACAGUAUGAGAAUGUCGAGAGAAGCCCAGUUCAUCCAAAUGUGUACAGCCACAGCUCAUGCUUUUACAGCAUAUAUUCAGUGAAGCAAUGCCUUUAUCUGCAAUACUUAGUCUUUAUCUACCAUCUUUUCAGUGUAAAGCUUUUUUUGAAACGCAGAUUAAGUAAUAACAGCGUAGGAUAAUUGAGUGCAUUUUUUCACAGUGACUUAAUGAUACUUAUCUAUAGCUACUGAAAAGCAAGGAUAACAUACUGUGUGAGCGCUGUAUUAUCUAGCUUCUGAAACAGACCAAGUUUGGCAUUAGGGCUUAACUAAUUGAAAUACGGCCCCUUGUACUAAAGCCUGUUUGUUUAUAAUAAGCCCUAAUAUGUCUUUCUAAUGGACAUUGCAACGUCAGAAGCACUGAAUGCUGGCUCUGCAACCUGUGAGGUAGUAGUGUACUGAGUGUGGAGGUCAUACCAUGUCACAGCUACACUGGAUGCCUCUCCUGUUAGGUGAGGACAAAACCCAUCUUGCUGCUGGAAGAGCUGACUUUGGGCAUCAUGUUUGUAAUGUGUGUUAGUUUUUUGAUGGCAGGGGAGUUGCAGUUCUGGGCCUGCUCUGCAUCAUGGCUUUUGUGGGUAAUUAGUUGCAGCAGUGUUAUGAGCAGACCUUACAAACCCACUGAGUGAUUUUUUUUCUGAGGGUUGUGGCUUAGUGGGUAUAAUGAUGAUGGGUUGACUAUUGGACUAAAUGAUCUUAGUGGUCUUUUCCAGCCUGAACGGUUCUAUGAUUCCAUGACUUUAUUUGCCUAGGAGUCCUGGUGGAACAAAGUGAUGGGCUGACACGGAGGUGAAGCUGGACUCCCUUUGAAUCCUACCAAGCAAGGAAGAAAACAUAAAUUACAGCUCCCCCUGAAUCCUCAAACACGUGAGCCUCUUCCACAGCAGGACAGCCUGCACAUCUUCUUGAAAGAAUAGAGGACUGAUGGUAAAACAGUUAUUUUUGAAGUGGAUUACUGUCCAGCGUGGCAUUUUAGUCUUUCUUGCAUUAGUUCAGGCUGAACACAAUGGUGUCUCUGGAUAAUUUUCCACCUGUCUGUUUUGAAUAUCAGAUGGAAGUGUUUAGCUGGUGAACUGGAAUGGUGCCAGAUUUUGCAGGAGCCUUUUCUCUUGAGUUCUGCUGUUUUUGUAACUACUUAGAUGGAAUUAUCCAAGCAUGCUCCAGGCUGGCAUGGGGUAAAUGCUGAGCAACACAACUGGAAUCGGCUCUUCAUAUGUCAACACAAUUCCAUAGUUAAUGUCAAGGAACAAGCUACUGGAGCACAUUUAACUGUAAUUCACAGGUCCUCAAAGGGCCAGAAGGGUAUUUGAUGUUGUACAGACCUGCAGGAUGACCCUGACCCGUCAGCACAGUCAUUCCAGAAACUGAAAAGAAAGUCAUUUGCACCAUUUUGUUGCUGGACUGAGGUGCAGUGUGCAUAAAUGUGCAUGAAAGCUGUAUUGCUGAGCAUGACUGAAAGCCUCUUCCUCUCUUAAGCAUCCUCUAAUAGGAUGGAAGUAGGAUAAUUCAGCCAGGUAAUGCGGAGCUUUGAAGUUAAUGACUCUAUUAGGUAUUUAGCAUAUUCAUGUUGGAGACCUUGGAUAACUGGAAUACCGAAUUUAGGAUUUCUAAUUGACUCAGCUAUUACUUCCUUGUGCUGCUUGGUUGGGGCUGAUCGUGAGGAAGGAGGUAGCAGUGCCAGCUGCUGUUUUCCCUAGUGGAAAACGAACCCGACCAUCCCCAUUCUCACAUGUGGUUGGUAUCUCCACAGUGCAGGAAUUUGUUAGCUUAAAGCUUCUCUCUAAAUGGGUGACAACUCUUCCCUGAUAAGCUGUGGCAGCCCUGCAUGUGAGACCUCAGACACCAAAUAAACAGUGCUGGCAUCAGAUAAUUCUGUUUAGAAUGCCAAAGCCUCAGAAGUAUCCUAUCUUUUGAAAUGCAGUGAUUUUUUUUUUCAUGGGUUGUUUACAUCUUCCUGCAGUGACUUCAUGUCAGCUGUUAGCUCUU
ensembl:lncRNA